UUAAGCGACUAAGCGUACACGGUGGAUGCCCUGGCAGUCAGAGGCGAUGAAGGACGUGCUAAUCUGCGAAAAGCGUCGGUAAGGUGAUAUGAACCGUUAUAACCGGCGAUGUCCGAAUGGGGAAACCCAGUGCAAUUCGUUGCACUAUCGUUAACUGAAUACAUAGGUUAACGAGGCGAACCGGGGGAACUGAAACAUCUAAGUACCCCGAGGAAAAGAAAUCAACCGAGAUUCCCCCAGUAGCGGCGAGCGAACGGGGAGCAGCCCAGAGUCUGAAUCAGCUUGUGUGUUAGUGGAACGGUCUGGAAAGUCCGACGGUACAGGGUGAUAGUCCCGUACACCAAAAUGCACAGGCUGUGAACUCGAAGAGUAGGGCGGGACACGUGGUAUCCUGUCUGAAUAUGGGGGGACCAUCCUCCAAGGCUAAAUACUCCUGACUGACCGAUAGUGAACCAGUACCGUGAGGGAAAGGCGAAAAGAACCCCGGCGAGGGGAGUGAAAAAGAACCUGAAACCGUGUACGUACAAGCAGUGGGAGCACCUUCGGGUGUGACUGCGUACCUUUUGUAUAAUGGGUCAGCGACUUAUAUUCUGUAGCAAGGUUAACCGUAUAGGGGAGCCGCAGGGAAACCGAGUCUUAACUGGGCGUUAAGUUGCAGGGUAUAGACCCGAAACCCGGUGAUCUAGCCAUGGGCAGGUUGAAGGUUGGGUAACACUAACUGGAGGACCGAACCGACUAAUGUUGAAAAAUUAGCGGAUGACUUGUGGCUGGGGGUGAAAGGCCAAUCAAACCGGGAGAUAGCUGGUUCUCCCCGAAAGCUAUUUAGGUAGCGCCUCGUGAACUCAUCUUCGGGGGUAGAGCACUGUUUCGGCUAGGGGGUCAUCCCGACUUACCAACCCGAUGCAAACUACGAAUACCGAAGAAUGUUAUCACGGGAGACACACGGCGGGUGCUAACGUCCGUCGUGAAGAGGGAAACAACCCAGACCGCCAGCUAAGGUCCCAAAGUCAUGGUUAAGUGGGAAACGAUGUGGGAAGGCACAGACAGCCAGGAUGUUGGCUUAGAAGCAGCCAUCAUUUAAAGAAAGCGUAAUAGCUCACUGGUCGAGUCGGCCUGCGCGGAAGAUGUAACGGGGCUAAACCAUGCACCGAAGCUGCGGCAGCGACACUAUGUGUUGUUGGGUAGGGGAGCGUUCUGUAAGCCUGCGAAGGUGACCUGUGAGGGUUGCUGGAGGUAUCAGAAGUGCGAAUGCUGACAUAAGUAACGAUAAAGCGGGUGAAAAGCCCGCUCGCCGGAAGACCAAGGGUUCCUGUCCAACGUUAAUCGGGGCAGGGUGAGUCGACCCCUAAGGCGAGGCCGAAAGGCGUAGUCGAUGGGAAACAGGUUAAUAUUCCUGUACUUGGUGUUACUGCGAAGGGGGGACGGAGAAGGCUAUGUUAGCCGGGCGACGGUUGUCCCGGUUUAAGCAUGUAGGCUGGUUGUCCAGGCAAAUCCGGAUAAUCAAGGCUGAGGUGUGAUGACGAGGCACUACGGUGCUGAAGUAACAAAUGCCCUGCUUCCAGGAAAAGCCUCUAAGCAUCAGGUAACAUUAAAUCGUACCCCAAACCGACACAGGUGGUCAGGUAGAGAAUACCAAGGCGCUUGAGAGAACUCGGGUGAAGGAACUAGGCAAAAUGGUGCCGUAACUUCGGGAGAAGGCACGCUGGUGUGUAGGUGAAGCCCCUGCGGGUGGAGCUGAGACCAGUCGAAGAUACCAGCUGGCUGCAACUGUUUAUUAAAAACACAGCACUGUGCAAACACGAAAGUGGACGUAUACGGUGUGACGCCUGCCCGGUGCCGGAAGGUUAAUUGAUGGGGUUAUCCGUAAGGAGAAGCUCUUGAUCGAAGCCCCGGUAAACGGCGGCCGUAACUAUAACGGUCCUAAGGUAGCGAAAUUCCUUGUCGGGUAAGUUCCGACCUGCACGAAUGGCGUAAUGAUGGCCAGGCUGUCUCCACCCGAGACUCAGUGAAAUUGAACUCGCUGUGAAGAUGCAGUGUACCCGCGGCAAGACGGAAAGACCCCGUGAACCUUUACUAUAGCUUGACACUGAACAUUGAGCCUUGAUGUGUAGGAUAGGUGGGAGGCUUUGAAGCGUGGACGCCAGUCUGCGUGGAGCCAACCUUGAAAUACCACCCUUUAAUGUUUGAUGUUCUAACGUUGGCCCCUUAUCGGGGUUGCGGACAGUGUCUGGUGGGUAGUUUGACUGGGGCGGUCUCCUCCCAAAGCGUAACGGAGGAGCACGAAGGUUAGCUAAUCCUGGUCGGACAUCAGGAGGUUAGUGCAAUGGCAUAAGCUAGCUUGACUGCGAGCGUGACGGCGCGAGCAGGUGCGAAAGCAGGUCAUAGUGAUCCGGUGGUUCUGAAUGGAAGGGCCAUCGCUCAACGGAUAAAAGGUACUCCGGGGAUAACAGGCUGAUACCGCCCAAGAGUUCAUAUCGACGGCGGUGUUUGGCACCUCGAUGUCGGCUCAUCACAUCCUGGGGCUGAAGUAGGUCCCAAGGGUAUGGCUGUUCGCCAUUUAAAGUGGUACGCGAGCUGGGUUUAGAACGUCGUGAGACAGUUCGGUCCCUAUCUGCCGUGGGCGCUGGAGAAUUGAGGGGGGCUGCUCCUAGUACGAGAGGACCGGAGUGGACGCAUCACUGGUGUUCGGGUUGUCAUGCCAAUGGCACUGCCCGGUAGCUAAAUGCGGAAGAGAUAAGUGCUGAAAGCAUCUAAGCACGAAACUUGCCCCGAGAUGAGUUCUCCCUGAGACUUUAAGUCUCCUGAAGGAACGUUGAAGACGACGACGUUGAUAGGCCGGGUGUGUAAGCGCAGCGAUGCGUUGAGCUAACCGGUACUAAUGAACCGUGAGGCUUAACCUU
rnacentral:rRNA from 1 species